rnacentral:sRNA from 1 species
UUAAAAUAGGUACGGAUGCUUUGAGCCAUUCUCCAAUUCGUAACUCAACAAAAAUUACGAAUCGAAGAAUGGAUCUAUUCGCUAUCAUAAUUCGAUUGUCUUCAGUUUUAGCUUGAACUCGAUUAUUUUUUUAUUGGAUUUUUCGAAAACAUAGAAUCGUUUACUGUUACAAUAUCUUUUAGAUCGGAUUUUUACGUAUUGGUUGGCUCAAAUUCACCUUUGGUUUUUAGAUUUCAAAAAUAGAUUUCUUAUACUCAAAUUAACAUUUACACACACAUUUUGGUUUCAGUUUUCAUUCGUUUAGCUUCGGAUUUCUGUAAAUUGGUUUUUUUAGUUAUUAAUAGAAUAUUAUUCAGUUUUAUUGUUUUCAUUUUUGAGUGAUCUGGCUUUAGUUAGAUUGAAUAUAUUUUUUUUUGGUAGAAAGUUGGAUUGAAUAUAUAGUCCACAAGGA